ACGCACGCUGGCGGCGUGCUUCACCCCUGCCAGUCGAACGGAAAGGCCCUGCUUUUGUGGGGUGCUCGAGUGGCGAACGGGUGAGUAACACGUGAGUAACCUGCCCUUGACUUUGGGAUAACUUCAGGAAACUGGGGCUAAUACCGGAUAGGAGCUCCUGCUGCAUGGUGGGGGUUGGAAAGUUUCGGCGGUUGGGGAUGGACUCGCGGCUUAUCAGCUUGUUGGUGGGGUAGUGGCUUACCAAGGCUUUGACGGGUAGCCGGCCUGAGAGGGUGACCGGCCACAUUGGGACUGAGAUACGGCCCAGACUCCUACGGGAGGCAGCAGUGGGGAAUAUUGCACAAUGGGCGAAAGCCUGAUGCAGCAACGCCGCGUGCGGGAUGACGGCCUUCGGGUUGUAAACCGCUUUCGCCUGUGACGAAGCGUGAGUGACGGUAAUGGGUAAAGAAGCACCGGCUAACUACGUG
rnacentral:rRNA from 1 species